CCUUUCUCUGGGCAGCGACUAUACAGUGACCAGCUUGGAGACUACUUCACCACCUAAAUAAGAUUUCAAGAAUUUCGCCGAGCAAAGCAGAAGCAAGAGAGGUUAGAGACUAAACAAAAUUUGAAAAAUAUUCAAAAUCAGAAAUUAGAGCAAAGUAGAAGCAAGCGAGUGCACUACGUUUAAUUUUGGCAUAUCCCUAAUAACCACAUCCCGCUCCCUAGUUGUUUUUCACCAAAUAGAACUCAACGCCCUCCUCUUCAUCGCACCAGAAGCUCACCGAACAGAUGAAAAACGAGAAAUUACCAAAGGCAGAAGCUCACCUUUCACUUGAGGAUGAAGGAAACAAGAGCAAUUUCACCUUUCGCCUGAGGAUGAAGGAGACAAGAGCAAUUUCACCUUUCACCUGAGACGGGAGCCAUUUCACCUGAGAUGGAAGAAAUCGAAAGGAGAAGGAGAUGGAGCUUUUACUAAGAGAAAUUUUACCUGAUACAAAGCUUUCACCAAG
rnacentral:lncRNA from 1 species